GAGAGACGAGUCUACCCACCACAUACAAGUGAGGAAAGUUCAGUGCUGAUGCAGAACAUGCUGGUCUCCCCCCCUUAUCACGAAUUCACGAGAGAAAAGUUUUGAUGGCGCCACCAAGUGUGUUAUUCUACUGUGUCGUGUUAUGACUACACCCGAGUAAUUUUUUUAUCGACAACAUUGCUAUGCCGGAGCUGUAGCUUAUGCUGAAUUUACUUGUAAACACUGAAAUAUUUAAUGCAAUAUUCAUUCUUAUAUUGGCGUGGUUUGACAUUGGGCAUGUCUUCACGAUUUUUUGGCGUUAGCAAUUGGAAAGAAGGUAACACAGUGGUAGAUUUGGACUAUCAAGGUGGUAAUAGUUUAUAUCUGUUUUGUUUUUUCUUGCCGCAAGUAUUCAGUUUAGGGUUGAAGGAUUUUUUUUAGGAAUUCUAUAGGAUACGAUUCGUGUAGGAAAAAAAAUUCUAGAGUCCUUUGGUUUGUAGGAAUAGAAUCAUACUAGUAUUUAUUUAGUUGGUUCUUUGACAGGGUGGUGAUUGUUUGUUCUCAAAUCUGGGUUUGGAUAUCCCGACUUUGUCCGGGCGGACCUAUCAAAAAGGAGAACUUUGGAUAUCCCGACUUUGUCCGGGCGGACCUAUCAAAAAGGAGAACGUAUAUUCAUCUUAUAUUGACAUUACAGUACAUGUAUGGCUGAACUGACAUUACAGUACAUGUAUGGCUGAACGUAUAUUCAUUUUGUAUUGAGAUUACAGUACAUGUAUGGCUUCCUGUAAUAUAUAAUUGUAUACGAUUCGAGACUUUUUUUAUGUUUUGUGGGGGUACCGAAGCAAAAGCCUAUUUCAAAGUACGUCGUAGGUGUUGAACAGUUUUGUCUUGAUAAGGUAAACGGAAUUGCUCUGCGUACGACCUGAUAGUUACGAUUCACGUCGACGUUCUGAUCCUACGAUUACCAUUGAUGCAUACAUCUGAUCCAAGGGUGGCUGAGCAGUGUCGUACAAAAAUCGUAGGUAAAUGACCCUUGUGUGGUCGGUUUCCAAACAGGAAGCCACAAUUUGUUUGAAUUUGUUUUUGAAUCUCAAGCCGAUCACCAUUUCACGCAACAAAUACUCAAACUCAAGCCAACAACGAAAGAAAUCCGCAUGAACCCCACCCAAAAACCAAAUGGAGAUAAAUUUGCACACUCAUAUACACGUGGAUCGAUCAUAUGGAGACGCUGUUGGGUAUCCCUUUCCCCGUGAGCCCCUUCUCCUGGCCGGCGACGUCCGGGAACAAGAGCGUGUACGGCACCUUGACCGGCCCCCUCCGGUUCUUGAGCCGCGGGUCCUUGUUCCUCUCCUCCACCCGCUUCUCCACCCGCCGGAGGUCCUCCCGGAACCGGUCCAGCAGGCGCAGCAGCUGGCCGUCGUCCGUCCACGUGGACGUCGCGCGCUGCCCGAGGUAGACCUCGUCGGAGGUGUGGUUGGACAGCACCUCGAUGAGGGCCAGCCCCAGCGUGGCCGUGAACCUGUCUGGCACCAUCUCCAGGAAGAACUUCUCCGGGUCCGCCUCCAGCUGCGUCAUCUCCGGCGACCCCGGCAGCGGCACGAACCGGCGGCACCGGGUGGGCCGGUUCGGCGGGAACCCCGCGUAGGCGUACUGCCCGAAGUUGACCGCCGCGUGCAGCGCGGAGGCGAUCCAGAUGAGCGUCGACAGCGUCUGCGCGAGGUGGUCGACGCUGUCCAGCGCCAGCCAGCACGCCUGGUCGCCCUGCCGGUCGCCGUGGCCGACGGUGCGGACGUCGUGCCACCACGCCUGCAGCUCCGCGUCGCCGACCACCUCCUUGUCGCCGUGGUAGAAGUGGGCGCAGUAGCUGCGCACCCACCCGUCGAUGGCGUGCCACACGUCGAGCCCGUCGACGGCGUACGGGUAGUCCUCGAUGUGCAGGGUCAGGCCGCCGGGCUCCUUGGAGCUAGAGGCAAUCCCCCUUCAUCAGAUACAAGAAUGACAGGUACAGCUCGUAAGAUUGUUACUUGUUCUCCUAAAUUUUUUGAAAACGAAAUGGAAGGAAAUGGUUUGGGUACCGCUUGAGGAGAUCAUUUGGCAGGGACUGCUCGGUGAACCUCCAGUCCCCGUAGAUGGCGGAGGACAUCUCCACGGCGUACUUCCCCGGGUACAUGGUCCGCUCCAGGAUGCCGCCGGCGUUGAGGAGUAUGCUCCUGGCCAGCGUGUUGAUCUGCAUCGUGUCCUUGAAGUGCGGCUCCAGGAGCUUGUGGACGGGGUGCAUGGCGCUCAGCUGCCUCCUCGUCGCGAUGAUGAACGGCUCCACCGCCGCGUGCGUGAACAGCCUUCAUUUCAUUUGGCCACCCGCGCGUGUCAGUUUGCCUCACUUCUGUUCAGAUGCUGCUGAUUACUACGACUAGAAUGGAACUUUGCAUCCUCACCAGUGGCUGAUGAGCUGAUGGUACCCCGAGUCGUUGACGGAGACGUGGGCCUUGGCGAGCUGCCACAGAUGCCCAUCGGUGCCGUGGCUCGCCGGGAGGAAGACCCGGCUCAGCUCGGUGUCGCCCUCGCCGUCGCUGGGCAGGCUCAGCUCGAUCACCACCGGCUUCAGGGUCCCGUCGCCCUUGAGGAACAGCAGCGUGCGCGACGCGUAGAUGCACACGCCCAGCGUGUUUAUGCGCCUCAGGUACGGCAUCAGGUAGUCAUGGUGGUCCAGGAUGUACAGCCUCUUCUGAUGCAUUGCCUGCAUUUUACAGUGAUAUUGUAUGUGCAUCAUGCAUACCAAGCAGAGAAACAUACAUUAAGGAUAGAACAGGGAGCAGUUUUCCUAACCGUUUCAAUGGUUACAUCCCCAAGCUGGCUCUUGAUGUGCUCGGCGGUUAUCGAGCUCCUCUUCCCGCCACUGCUGACCGGCGGAAAUGUCUGAGAGUGGAACAUUUGAAAGUCAGUCAAUCUCAAUGCACGUGGUGCAAGUCUACGAUCGGUCAAGAAAAUUCAGGACGAUCAGAUGACUUACUUGUAAUCUCUUGAUGGCAACAGGGUUGAGCCCUGCGAGCAUUUCCCUCGCGAACUCCUCGUCGCUCCUCCACGCCUCAGGAUCGUCUGCAGCAUGCAUCCAUCCAUCCAUCAUCCAAGAUGAAACUUGAUGCACGAUUGGGCGACAAAACUGGGAGAGAGGGAAGACCAACUGAUCGUCACUCACUCUGGAUGACUUGCGGGAUGGGGAACUUGGCGGGGUGCUCCUCCUUGACGGCCUUGGCCACCUGCUUGUAGGUCUUGUGGGACGGCACGGAGGACUUGAGCUUCUCCAUGACCUGGCCGUCCACCGCCGGCUGCACGGGCUUGCUGUACAGGUCCUUCCUCAGCAGCUCCAUGGACUUGAAGUCGUUGCCGUGGAUCAGCGUCCUCACCUCCGGGACCACGAAGUGCGUCACCGCCUGCACCCCCAGCUUGAGCACCUCCGCCAGCUUCCCCGGGCUGAACCGCUCGUCCGGCGGGAUGUAGAAGUCCAGGUUGAUCACGUGCUUCCGCGUCUCCGUCACGCCGUCUUCCAAUCAAUCAACCAGCCAUGAGAUGCAAGGUUCGUUAUUUAGGAAUGAAAUCGGCUGGAGUCUAGCAGUACCGGUUUUGCUGAUGGCGCGGCCUGUCCGGCAGCGGCGCGGGUAGGGGUGCGUCCGGGUGCCGCCGACGACCGGACGGACGUGCUCCGGGUUGUCGGGGUUGCCGAGGUCGUUGUAGCAGUCGUAGUCGUAGACGCGUUCCCAGUCCUUGCGCUCUCCCUUGCCGUCCCCUCGCAGGCUCCGCAGCUCCUCGUCCCGCAGCAGCACCAGCGCCUCCGGCGUCUUGGAAGGCAAGUAGCUCUGCGAAAUGGUGGUCACCACGAAAGAACGAACGAAACCUUCAUGCACGAGUUCACCCAGGUCACGAUAUCAAUCGAACAAACACGAACGGAUGGCCUCUGGUCUGACCGUGUUGACGAAGAAGAGGCGGUCGGAGGCGGUCUUCCUGUAGGGGUACACCCAGGAGUUGCACUCGAAGUGGAUGCUCCGGUCCUCGGCGAGCUCCAGCCGCACGUGGCGGAGGAAGAAGCGGUCGGCGCGGUUCCCGUUCCUGACGGACACGGCGCCCGGCGUGCCGAAGUCGGCGUCCACCACGAACGUGACGUGGUACGUCGUCGUGCUCGCCUUCCCGUGCCUGCUCUUCUUGCCGCCCCUCAGCGGGGCCUCCGCGCUCAGCUUCCCCUUCCCCGUCUCUGCACCCUUUCGGCAUCAGUCACAGUCGAACGCACAAGUAGCAACAGUGUUCUUCGGCAGUGCACUCACCGUGGUCGAUCUGGGUGCCGCUGAAGAGGCGCAGGGUGGUGGACUUGCCGGGCGCGGAGAGGCCGAAGGUGUUGGCGACGACGACGGUGCCAUUAACGGCGACGGCGUUCGCCGGCGGGACCGGGCUCCGAUCCCACAGCUUGGGGCAGAACGGCAUUUGCAUGGACCGGGCUAGCUAGCUAGACCAGAAGGACAGGACAGGAUGAUGCUAACUGAUUAUCCGCCGCGGAAUUCCUGUCGCAACCAAUGGAUUGGUGCCAUGAGACUAUAUACAUCUCGGUGGGGAUCCUUGGAGUGUUCUAGGAGUAGGAGGGCAUCGUUCUCUCUGUUCUCCUUUUCGCUGGAGGAGGAGAACUGGAGAAAAGCAGAAAGGGGGAGGGGAAUGUGUGCCAGCCUUCGGCCUGACCUCUUGCACCUGAUGCUGCUUCCUUUGAGCCGCAAAGGAUCCCUGCCUUGUGCUCUGGGCCUGGCGUGUGGUGGUAACUUCUGGGCUCUCGGUCACUUCCAGUUCUUUAUGAGCCCGGAAAUUUCUAGCUACCUCUCGCAUGUCGAUAAUUGGCCGUGCUAUGCUCUUUGUGUUGACCAUGUUGAUAUAUGCUCUUUGUGUAGAAAUUGGACAAAAUCAUUGUUCCGACUUUUUGAUAAUCUUUGUCACAUAGUGAAUUCGACAUGAAAGUAUUUCAACCUUUUUAAAAAGGUCAGAAUCUGUGUCGUUUUUGCUUCACAUGGAAACGUCGAGGUAGCUUGCGUCGCAGCUCCAUAUAAAAACACCUAGGUAGCUCGCGUUGUAGAUCAUAUGGCAACGCUAGAGUAUUUGACGUCUCUACCCAGGGCGUUGUUGAUCUUGAUUUUACAAUCUUGGCUCUCCUCUUUCUUGUCAGGUCGACUUUGCAAACCAGUGACAAUAUCUUCUCCAGCAACGCCAACCCCCAUGACGUUGCUGUUUCUGCCUCAGCGCCUCGUGGUGCUAACCUGCUUGCUGACAAUUUCUACUCCAGCAACGUCAACCCCAUGGCGUUUCUAGCCUGGGUAGCCCAGAUACCCUGGCGUUGCCAUAUGGUCUGCAACGCGAGCUACCUAGGUGUUUCUAUAUGAAGCUGCAACGCAAGCUACCUCGGCGUUUUCAUAUGGAGCAAAAAUGCCACGCUUUCUGACGUUUUCAAAAAAGAUCAGAUCGUGAAAUACUUUCAUGUCGAAUUCACUUUGUGACAAAGAUUGUCAAAAGGGUCCGACAGUGAUUUUAUCUCAAGAAAUUCAGCUGAAUUUAUCAAGUUCAGUUGGAUCUGACCCGAUGUGAAAAAAUUUAUGAGUCUAGGAAAAUCUAGGCUUCCCACGGUAUCGUUCUUCAUCAAUAAGGCUUAUCCACGGUUUCGUAUUUUUAAGGUCAAUUUCCAAUCCGCAAACGCUCAUACAUCCAAAUAGAUAGGCCUCAAAUACAUCCGCCCAUGCCUGGUCUCUGGGUGGUUUUCUUACAAGCAUCGUCGAGCUGUAAACCAACAUUUCCUUCCUGGUUAGCUUCACAAAGAUUAUAAUGUACUAUCAUGGUUGUUGAGAAUUGCACUUACAUGACAGUACAAGUAGGCGAGCCCAGCAGACUCCCAGGUGUAAUUCUGAUCCUAGUUGACCAAGAAGUCAAUAUACAUCCAAGAAGCAACGUCUUUGAAUGUAUCUCUAAAAACAACCUCGCUUAGGAGAUGCCACACGUAUGCUCGUGCAUACUGCUCCACUGUCUCUAGGUUGGCAGCGGCCGAGCAUCCCGACCUAUUAGCCUCGAGCCAGGCGAAUGGGACGCCGUUUGUCCUAUUGUUAGUCCUUCCCUGUUCAAAAAGAGAGGUAGAGCAGUCACCGAUGAGAGCGGUAACCCUCUGACGCCAGUUCUGAUUGUCCACUCGUCCGAUGAGAGUCUCGUCGUCAAUGGGAAGCCGUGUGAUCAUGGCAAAGUCAUUGAGCAUCACAUUUAUCUCGCCACAAGGAAGAUGAAAGUUGCAUGUCUCCAACCGCCAACGAUCAAGCAAUGCCGUGAGAGCUGCAUGGUUCAUCACCGGGGGCACGCGUUUGAUACACAUAGAACAAUAAUACUUGACUAUGCCAUAUAAAUAAUUCAUCCAAGAUUAAUAAUACUCCCAUAAUAUUCAUACAUUCUUCUUAUAUAUUCAUCAAGACAACGAUAAUACUCCAUCAUAUACAACUGCACAUCUUAAAACUAGAGAAAAUUAUAAAAAGUAAGACCUAGGUGGCACCUAGUGCCAAAUAAUACUUCAAAAAUACAAUGGUAUUGUAAAAAAUAGUUUGAGGGAUUGGAUGAGCAUACCCUCCUCUCCAUUUUGCCCUAACCCCCCCCCCUAAAAUGGUGAACGAGAGAGGGAGAUUGAAGAGGGGGGAUCGAGAGGAGGAGAGAGGCAUCGCCGCCUCUGUUUCGUGAAGAGGGGGAAGAACUAGGCUGAUGGGUGGGUGGGGUCCGCCCGCAACCCGACGGGGAUUAACCGGUGUGAGUACCCUACCGCCAGAGCUGGUGGCGGCAGGCUGGCACACCCUACCACCACCGCCUGUGGCGGUAGGCACCUAAUCCACAUCAGCACGGCAGAGGUGUCGUCUGACUUCACGGGACCCUACCGCCAGCGAUCAUGGCGGUAGCCUGUACAUCCCUACCACCACAAGAGGUGGCGGUAGGAAAAGGGUGAGAUCUGAUUUUUUUCUAGAUCGGGGUCAGAUCGAGUUGAACUUGUCCAAAAAGGUCAAAAAAGUGAUUUUUCUCACGCAAAAAAGAAUAUAAAAUAUAGAACGAUCAACAGAGCAAGGAGCGAUGCUGGGAAUUUCUUGGAAGCCGUUUGGUUGUCCUAGAAUCGACGACUGGAAUAGCUCGGAGGUGGUUAUAUCAUGUCUAACGGAUCGUGUAAAUCGGGUCAUCUAACAAAAUAAUCAAUGAAGGCGAUUUUUUGACUCAAAUACAUUUCGUAUAUUCGUUAAUCCCAAAAUAAUUACGGGUAUCCUACAAACCGCGACCCAUUUUCGCCUUUCCUUGACAUGAAGGUCCUUUUCGGGAUCAACACCUGCUUUUGUCAGAUCUCCUUUUCUUGGGAUGAAGCUCCUUUCCAUAUGCUUGUGUUACCGCCCCACUCCUUGCCGCCGCACCUCCCAUCGGUUCUUUCUACCCCCGGCUUCACCUCACCAUAUGUUAGCUCCUCAGCCCCGCGUUGCAUCUAUUCCACCAAGUUUGAGAACAUGGCGUGCCCAUUUGUCUUCGCGGGCCUACGACCAUCGUCGGUGCCAUCGAUCCACCCUAGAGCUUGGCGCGCGAUCUUGUAACCGGCAGAUCUGGUUGGUUCCGGCGUUACUGUUGGAAAUAUGCCCUAGAGGCAAUAAUAAAUUGGUUAUUAUUAUAUAUCCUUGUUCAUGAUAAUCGUUUAUUAUCCAUGUUAGAAUUAUAUUGAUUGGAAACUCAAAUACAUGUGUGGAUACAUAGACAACACACUGUCCCUAGUGAGCCUCUAGUAGACUAGCUCGUUGAUCAAAGAUGGUCAAGGUUUUCUGGCCAUAGACAAGUGUUGCCACUUGAUAACGGUAUCACAUCAUUAGGAGAAUGAUGUGAUGGACAAGACCCAUACUAUGAACGUAACAUAUGAUCGUGUCAGUUUAUUGCUACUGUUUUCUACAUGUCAAUGUAUCUGUUCCUAUGACCAUGCAACUCCCGGACACCGGAGGAAUACCUUGUGUGUAUCAAACGUCGCAACGUUACUGGGUGACUAUAAAGGUGCUCUACAGGUAUCUCUGAAGGUGUGUGUUGGGUUGGCAUGGAUCAAGACUGGGAUUUGUCACUCCGUGUGACGGAGAGGUAUCUCGGGGCCCACUCGGUAAUACAACAUCACAAUAAGCCUUGCAAGCAAUGUGACUAAGGAGUUAGUCACGGGAUCUUGUAUUACGAAACGAGUAAAGAGACUUGCCGGUAACGAGAUUGAACUAGGUAUGGCAAUACCGAUGAUCGAAUCUCGGGCAAGUAACAUACCGAUGGACAAAGGGAACUGCAUACAGGAUUGAUUGAAUCCUUGACAUCGUGGUUCGACUGAUAAAGAUCUUCGUAGAAUAUGUAGGAACCAAUAUGGGCAUCCAGACCCGCUAUUGGUUAUUGACCGUAGAGGUGUCUCGGUCAUGUCUCCAUAAUUCUCGAACUCGCAGGGUCUGCACACUUAACGUUCGAUGACGCUAGAGUAGUAUUGGGAUAUGUAUGUUGGUGACCGAAUGUUAUUCGGAGUCCCGGAUGAGAUCCCGGACGUCUUGAGGAGCUCCGGAAUGGUCCGGAGGUAAAGAUUUAUAUAUGGGAAGUCCUAUUUUGGCUACCUGAAAAGUUUUGGGUUUUAUCGGUAUUGUACCGAGAGGCUUCUAGAAGGUUCCAGAAUGUUCCAGAGGGUUCUGCAGGUGUCCGGAAGGGUCCCUCCAUCCCCUAGGACGUGAAUGGGCUGGAAGCGGGCGCCCAAGCCAUGUUGGGCCAGCCCCCAAGGGCCCAUGCAGUUCGGUGGGAAGAGUCCCUAAAGGGGAAGGCACUUGCUAGGUGCCUUGGGGAGGGAGGAAACCUCCCUAGGCCCACGCCCCCUCCUUGGAGGAGGAGCUAGGGCUGCGACCCAACUUUCCUCCUAGCCUCCUAUAUAUAGUGGGGGAGAGGGAGGGGCUGAACACACUAAUUCCCACGCCCCGGUGGCAGCCCUACCUCUCCCAUAACUCCGUUUUCUCCUCAGAUCGAUUCCGGCAGCGCUUGGCGAAGCCGUGCUGACACUGCUCCACCAUCAUCUCCGCCAUACCGUUGUGCUGGUUGAGAUCCCAUCUACUUCUCCUUCGUCUCUUGCUGGAUCAAGAAGAAGGAGACGUCAGCGAGCCGUACGUGUGCCGGACGCGGAGGUGUCGUCCGUUCGGCGCUAGACCGGGAAGGAUCGUGAUGAGAUUGCGGGACGGAUCGUGAUGAGAUCGUGAGACGGAUCGUGAUGAGAUCAUGGGACGGGCUGCGAUUUGGAUGAUGAAUAUGUUCCACUACAUCAACCGCGUUAUAUAUGCUCCCGCUUAGCGAUCUACGAGGGUAUGUAGAUUCACUCUCCCCUCUCGUAGAUGAUCAUCACCAUGGAUAGGUAUUGCGUCUGCGUAGGAAUUUUUUUGUUUCCCAUGCAAUGUUCCCCAUCAGUGGCAUCAUGAGCUAGGUUCAUGCGUAGAUGAUAUCUCGAGUAGAACACAAAAGAGUUUGUGGGCGUUGAUGUUCAAUUUACUGCCCUCCUUAGUCUUUUCUUGAUUCGACGGUAUUAUUGGAUUGAAGUGGCCCGGACCAACAUUACUCGUAUGCUUAUGAGAGACCGGUUUCAUCGACUAACAUGCAACUUGUUGCAUAAAGACGACUGGCGGGUGCAUGUUUCUUCAACUUUAGUUGAAUCAGAUUUGACCGAGGCGGUCCUUGGAGAAGGUUAAAUAGCAAUUUGCAUAUCACCGUUGUGGUUUUGCGUAAGUAAGAUGCGUUCAUACUAGAUACCCAUAGCAGCCACGUAAAACAUGCAACAACAAAUUAGAGGACGUCUAACUUGGUUUUGCAGGGUAUGCAUGUGAUGUGAUAUGGCGAGUGACAUGAUAUGAUAUAUUGGAUGUACGAUAUGAUCAUGUUGUAAUACUUAAAUAUCGACUUGCACGUCGAUGCUACAACAACCGACAUGAGCCAUAGGGUUGUCUUUAAAUUUAUUUUGCGCUUGCAGAUGCUCUUGCUAUAUUGCUAGGCAGUAGCUAUAGUAGUAACAACAUAGAUAGCGCGGCAACCUCGAUAGCAGCACGAUGAUGGAUAUCAUGGUGCGGCGCUGGUGACGAUGGAGAUCAUGCCGGUGGUUUGAUGAUGGAGAUCAAGAAGCACAAGUUCAUGGCCAUAUCAUGUCACUUAUGAUUUGCAUGUGAUGUUAUUCCUUUUAUGAACCUUGUUUUUCUUAGGACGACGGUAGCAUUAUAAGGUGAUCCCUCACUAAAAUUGCAUAAUAAAAUUGUGUUCUCCCCGACUGUGCACCAUUGUGACAGUUCGUCGUUUCGAGACACCACGUGAUGAUCGAGUGUGAUAGACUCAACGUUCACAUACAGUGAGUGCAAAACAGUUGCACAACGGAACACUCAGGUUAAACUUGACGAGUCUAGCAUGUACAGACAUGGCCACGAAACACAAUAGACCUAAAGAUCGAGCAUGAAUAUAGUUGAUAUGAUCAUCAUGGAGAUGUUCACCAUUGAAACUAAUCUCAACUCACGUGAUGAUCAGAGUUGAGUUAGUGGAUUUGGAUCACGCGCCACUCGAAUGACUAGAGGGAUGUCUAUUUGAGUGGGAGUUCUUAAGUAAUAUGAUUAAUUGAAGUCAUUAUCAUGAACAUAGUCAAAAGGUCUUUGCAAAUUAUGUUGUAGCUUGCGCUGUAGCUCUACUAUUUUAAAUAUAUUCCUAGAGAAAAUUUAGUCGAAAGAUGAUAGUAGCAAUUAUGCGAACUGGGUCCGUAAACUGAGGAUUGUCCUCAUUGUUGCGCAGAAGGCUUAUGUCCUUAAUGCACCGCUCGAUGUGCUGAACCUCGAGCAUCGUAUGUGGAUGUUGCGAACAAGUGACAUACAUGUUUUUGAUGACCACGUGAUAGUUCAGUGCGUAAUGCUUAAACAACUUAGAAUUGAGGCGCUGAAGACGUUUCGAACAUCACGGGACAUACGAGAUGUUCCAAGAGAUGAAAUUGGGAUUUCAUGCUCGUGCCCAUGUUGAGAGGUAUGAGACCUCCGAUAAGAUUCUUUGUCUACAAAGUAAGGGAGAAAAGCUCAAUCAUUGAGCAUGUACUCAGAUUGUCUGAGUGCUACAAUCGCUUGAACCGAGUGGUAGUGAAUCUUCCACAUGAGAUAGUGAUGGUUCUCCAAAGUCACUUUCACCAAGCUACUAGAGCUUCGUGAUGAACUAUAACAUAUCAGGGAUAGAUAUGAUGAUCCUUGAGCUAUUCGCGAUGUUUGACACCGCGAAAGUAGAAAUAAAAAAGGAGCAUCAAUUGUUGUUGGUUAGUAAAACCACUAGUUUCAAGAAGGGCAAGGGCAAGAAGGGGUACUUCAUGAAACGACAAACAAGUUGCUGCUCUAGUGAAGAGACCCAAGGUUGAACCCAAACCCGAGACUAAGUACUUCUGUAAUAAGGGGAACAAUCACUAAAGCGGAUCUACCCUAGAUACUUGGUAGAUGAGAAGGCUGGCAAAGUCGACAAAAGUAUAUUGGAUAUACAUAAUAUUGAUGUGUACUUUACUAGUACUCCUAGUAGCACGAGGGUAUUAGAAUAAACUGAGACUAGCUAAAGGCGAGGUGACGAUGUGUGUUGGAAGUGUUUCCAAGGUUGAUGUGAUCUCCAUCGCACGCUUCCUCUACCAUUGGGAUUAGUGCUAAACCUAAAUAAUUGUCAUUUGGUGUUUGCGUUGAGCAUAGACAUGAUUAGAUUGUGUUUAUUGCAGUACAAUUAUUAAUUUAAAGAUAAUAAUGGUUAUUCUAUUUACUUUAAUAUUACCUUCAAUGGUAUUGCACCUAAAAUAAAUGGUUUAUUGAAUCUCGAUCGUAGUGAUACACAUCUUCAUAAUAUUGAUGCCGAAAGAUACAAAGUAGUAAUGAUAGUACCACUUACUUGUGGCAGUGCCACUUGAGUCAUAUUGAUAUAAAACACAUGAAGAAGCUCCAUGCUGAUGGAUCUUUGGACUCACUCAUUUUUGAAACAUUUGAGACAUGCGAACCAUGUCUAUUGGUAUAAACGCAUGAAGAAACUGCAUGCAGAUGGAUCGUUUGGACUCGCUUGAUUUUGACUCACUUGAGACAUGCAAAUCAUACCACAUGAGCAAUAUGAUUGAAGGUCUCGUUUUCCAGUGAGAUGGAACGAGAAAGUAACUUGUUGGAAGUAAUACAUUUUGAUGUGUGCUAUCUAAUGAGUGCUAAGGCACGUAGUGGAUAUCGUUAUGUUCUUACUUCACUGAUGAUUUGAGUAGAUACAAGAGUAUUUGCUUGAUGAAUCACAAGUCUAAAAUAUUGAGAAGUUCAAGCUAUUUCAGAUGAAGAUCGUCGUGACAAGAGGAUAAUAUGUCUACGAUGUGAUCGUGGAGGUAAAAUCUGAGUUGCGAGUUUGGUAAGACAUUGUGGAAAUUGUUUCACAACUAAAGCCACCUGGAACACCAUGGUGUGAUGGUGUGUCCGAACAUCAUAGCCGCGCCCUAUUGGAUAUGGUGCAUACUAUGAUGUCUCUUAUCGAACUGCCACUAUCUUUUUGGGUUAGGCAUUAGAGACAACCGCAUUCACUUUAAAUAGGGCACCACAUAAUUCCGCUGAGAUGACAUCGUAUAAACUAUGGUUUGGAGAAACCUAAGCUGUCAUUUCUUAAAAGUUUGGGGCUGCGACGCUUAUGAGAAAAAGUUUCAGUCUGAUAAGCUCCCAAAGCGGAUAAAUGCAUCUUCAUAGGAUAGCCAAAAUAGUUGGGUAUACCUCCUAUCUCAGAUCCGGAAUCAAAGUGUUCGUUUCCAGAAACGGGUCCUGUCUUGAGAAAAAGUUUCACUCGAAAGAAUUGAGUGGGAGGAUGGUGGAAACUUGAUGAGGUUAUCGAACCGUCACUUCAACCAGUGUGUAGUAGGGCACAUGAAGUUUUUCCUGUGGUUCCUACACCAAUUAAAUUGGAAGUUGAUGAUAGUGAUCAUGAAGCUUCAGGAUCAAGUUACUACAAACCUCGUAGGUCGACAAGGUCACGUAUUUCUCUAGAGUGGUACGAUAACCCUGUCUUGGAGGUCAUGUUGUGUAACGCCCAAGAUGCGAUCCUAUCCUUAAUUUGGCACGAGGGCCUCGUCAGGGAUAGAAGCGCAUCUCGUCGUUUCGCGAUAAUGGAUAUCGUUACAAGUACAUGUACUGAAAAGAUGAUAUAUAUGGAAUUGGCUUACACUCGCCACAAGCUACAUCAGAGUCACAUCAGUACAAUACAUAAUCAUCAUGAAGAAGAGUGGGGUCCGGCUACGGACGAAAACAAACGAGAAAAGAAGAACGACGUCCAUCCUUCCUAUCCCAGGCUGCCGGCCUGGAACCCAUCCUAGAUCGAUGAUGAAGAAGAAGAAGCAACUCCAAAUGAACAAUCAACGCGCUCGUGUCAAGUAACCUUUACCUGUAUGUGCAACUGGUGUUGUAGUAAUCUGUGAGCCACACGGGACUCAGCAAUCUCAUUUCCAAAGGUAUCAAGACUAGCAAAGCCUAAUAGGUGAGGUAUGGUUAAGUUGUGAGGCUGCAGCAACGGCNNNNNNNNNNNNNNNNNNNNNNNNNNNNNNNNNNNNNNNNNNNNNNNNNNNNNNNNNNNNNNNNNNNNNNNNNNNNNNNNNNNNNNNNNNNNNNNNNNNNNNNNNNNNNNNNNNNNNNNNNNNNNNNNNNNNNNNNNNNNNNNNNNNNNNNNNNNNNNNNNNNNNNNNNNNNNNNNNNNNNNNNNNNNNNNNNNNNNNNNNNNNNNNNNNNNNNNNNNNNNNNNNNNNNNNNNNNNNNNNNNNNNNNNNNNNNNNNNNNNNNNNNNNNNNNNNNNNNNNNNNNNNNNNNNNNNNNNNNNNNNNNNNNNNNNNNNNNNNNNNNNNNNNGUGAGGCUGCAGCAACGGCUAAGCAUAUAUUUGGUGGCUAAACUUACGAGUACAAGAAAUAAGAGGGGGAAGAUCUACGCAUAGCGGACGUGACUACUGAUGAUCAAAUGAAUGAACCUGAACACCUACUUACGUCAGGCAUAACCCCACCGUGUCCUCGAUCGGAGAAGGAACUCACGAAAGAGACAAUCACGGCUACGCACUCAGUUGACAUAUUUUAAUUAAGUUGACUUCAAGUUAUCUAGAACCAGUGUUAAACAAAGUUUCCACAUUGCCACAUAACCGCGAGCACGGCUUUCCGAGAAAAUUUUAACCCUGCAGGGGUGCUCCAACUAGUCCAUCACAAAUUACCACAAGCCGCAAAGAAAUCCUCGAUCACGAAGCUCGCGAUCUCGUCGGACUCCUUAGUGGAAAACCUCUACUCUGAGAUUACCCAAAGCAUCACCGGAAUCCCGAUGCACAAGAUAUCUCGUAAAAGGUAAAACUAAUUGAGCAAGGCCACCCGGUGUGUCGACGAACCCAAUAGGAGCCGCGUAUCUCGUUCUCAGGACAUACCGUCUAUGCAUAGUGGACGGUAGCCAAACGCUCGAGUUGCCCCGAGGUGGCACCGCCGACUGCUAGGUGGGUGGACCAACACUCAUGCGGAGCACUGGCCCGGGGGUUGAUUAAAUUACUCCGCGGGUGCCGGCGGAUCUCUAUGCAAUUUUAUUAGUUAUUAGGCAAAUGUAGUACCAAAGUUAAGGCCUUGCCAGACCAGCUUUAAUCUAAAAUGAAUUAUCAAGGGGGUCCCCAUAACAACCCCGAUCGUGUUAGGAGCGCUCAUUUAUGGAACAUAACACCGGUAGCCGAAACUAAGGGGGCAAAGGUGGAACAAAACACCAGGCUAGAAAGGCCAAGCCUUCCAGUUGUUACCAAGUAUAUAUGUCCAUUAAAUUAAAUAGCAUUUAAUAGGGUGAUAUAACAAGGAACCAUGUUGUCACAUGGAAGCAACUGCACCUGCAACUAGCAACACUAACACAUGGUUAAGCAAGCGGUAACAUAGCCAAUCAGUGGUUUUCUAGGUUGUGAACAGGUUGAAGGUUUUCAUGGCAAUGAUGAGAGGCUGAUAUUUAACAUGUGGUAGGCAACGAGACAUAGCGACAGAAACGAUAAUACUAGCAUGGCAAUGAUAGUAAUGGUAUCUGGGGAAAUGGUCAUCUUGCCUGAGAUCCCGCUUGGAAGAAGAAUGACUCCGUGAAGCAGACGAACCGAUGUAGUCGAACGGGUCCUCACUUUCCGACACGCUUGCGGAACUCUAUCGAGACGAAGAAAACCGGAAACAAGAAUCAACACACGAUAUUCAUCACACGAUGCACAACACAUAUGAUGCAUGAAUGGAGAAUAUAUGCAAGACAUGGCAUGGCAAUUCACAACACUCAAACACUACACAUUAAGUGAAGUUCAAUAUGCAACGAGUUGCAUAUUGACGAAACUCCAAAUUUAAUUAUUUAGUUCUAUCCCUAUUAGAUACACGGCAAUAUUAGAUGUGGUUAAACAUGGCAAGAGGUGAAGCGUAAUUAAACUACCUAUCUAGGCAUUUUAAAUGAGGUCGGAAAUGACAUAUAGCAUCUCCGAAACGACCUCACAUGUUAAUUUGUAAUUCUGUCCAGAUCUGAACUAACACUUUUAAAUAGUUGUUAAACAGCAAAAUAAAUAUGUUCACGUGAUUCUACGCGUCGUUACAAGCAAUUUACACAUAGAGAACAUCUCCAACGGAGCUACGGUUCAAAAGAUACAAACACCGCAAGAUAUGAUGGCAUGAAUGCAAAAUGUGUGCAACGACAGUCACAUGCAUUUUAAAACACACAACCAGCAAUAUAAUAUGAAACUACACGAGAUUCUAAGAAAGUUCCAUAUAGGACACGAUCAAAACGGAGCAACGGUUCAACAACUACGAGCUAAACAAGAAAUCACUACAAUCUGCCAAAAUCAGCCACAUAGCAUUUUCUACACCCCACAACUACGAGCUACACAAAUCUAAAAUGCACAACCAAGACAUGAGACGGUAGAGGGCAAGAAGCACUACAACAUACAAGUAAUAACACCUAGCAUGGAAGCAUGGAUCACUAGGAAAAGAAGUCACAAAAUGGCUUCUCGCACAUUGUUUCAGACUUAGUGAAAAUAACAGUUUAUGAAAAUGCAAUUUUCGAUCUGAAGGCAUAUUGACAGCAGCAAAACCAUAAGCUAAAGGACUCCAAAUGGCAUGAAACUUCACAUCAUGCUAGAGAAUCCUAAAGCCUGCAACUAACUCCAUUGCACCAAUCUCAAAAGAGCUACAGAUCACCAGAUAAACUCAUGCAAAGACAGCAACAAAAUAUAACAGAUUCAGACUUAGAAAUAUUU
rnacentral:lncRNA from 1 species